GAACGCACAUUGCGCCCCUUGGUAUUCCAUGGGGCAUGCCUGUUCGAGCGUCAUUUGUACCCUCAAGCCUUGCUUGGUGUUGGGUGUUUGUCUUCGCCUUGCGUGGACUCGCCUUAAAUAUAUUGGCAGCCGGUAUACUGGUUUGAAGCGCAGCACAUUUGCAAUUCAGGCUAGCUAUUAUCAGCACCCAUAAAGACUUUUUAACACUUUUGACCUCGGAUCAGGUAGGGAUACCCGCUGAACUUAAG
rnacentral:misc_RNA from 1 species